rnacentral:rRNA from 1 species
AAUGGCGGCAACGCUGAUCCAGCUAUCCCGCGUGCAGGAUGAAGGGGCUACGCCUUGUAAACUGCUUUAGACUGAGACGAAAAAAUGGGAUUUAUCCUAUAUUGACGGUAUCAGUAGAAUAAGCACCGGCUAACUCCGUGCCAGCAGCCGCGGUAAUACGGAGGGUGCAAGCGUUAUCCGGAAUCACUGGGUAUAAAGGGUGCGUAGGCGGCUUGUUAAGUCAGGAGUGAAAGGCCACAGCUUAACUGUGGGAUUGCUUUUGAUACUGGCGAGCUUGGAUUAGGACGAGGUUGGCGGAAUGUGGCAAGUAGCGGUGAAAUGCAUAGAUAUGCCAUAGAAUACCGAUUGCGAAGGCAGCUGACUAGACCUAUAUUGACGCUGAGGCACGAAAGCGUGGGGAGCGAA